rnacentral:lncRNA from 1 species
UGGAGACCGUCCCUGGCCCUCAGGCAUCGUCGGGGGCGGGGCGGGGGGGGGCUGGCAGAGGAAAACCCUGAUCUUCUGCCCAGGGUGGUUUGUUUCGGCGAAACCGACCGAACAGGGGUCUUGGGUUCAAACUGGACGUCAGAAGGAAAUGCACAGACGAAUGGAAGAAAAGGUGCCGAGCCUCAGUUAAGGUUUGGCCAAGCAAAGACUCCUUGCCACGCAUCAGGCUGUCCAGGCUGUCCAGGCUGUCCGUGCCGAGGGGGUGAUUCCGGCGAGUACUGUGAGGACGAACUGUCAAGUCCAGCGCACCGUCAGCGCUCAUCUAAGCAGAUGCUGUGGCUUUUGUGUCAGAGACCUGUGCCUGAGAGAUGCGGGGCCGUGACGACUCGGUGUCCAGAGGGCGUGGAGUUGGCGACCCCGUGACUCACGGUGUGGAAAGAGCGGCUGUA